UUUACUUAGAGUUUGAUCCUAGCUCAGGGUGAACGCUGGCGGUAUGGAUAAGGCAUGCAAGUCACGGGGGCCGCAAGGCAACCGGCAGACGAGGUAGUAACACGUAGGAACGUACCCGGAAGUCGUGCACAGCUCGUCGAAAGACGGGGUAAUUCACGAUAUUGUCGCAAGAUGAAAGAUUUAUCGCUUCCGGAGCGGCCUGCGUUGUAUCAGCUAGUUGGUGAGGUAACGGCUCACCAAGGCUAUGACGCAUAGGGGACCUGAGAGGGUGACCCCCACCGAU
rnacentral:ncRNA from 1 species